rnacentral:lncRNA from 1 species
UUUUAAAAUUAAUAGACCUGUCUUAUUUAUCCCAGCACACUCUUAAUAAAAAAUGGAUUUGUUCAGGAAGAAGGCAGUUCUAAUCAGGAUUGUAUUCUUCAGUUGUUUUAUUUAUUCUUGUGCCAACCACAUUGUGGUUUUCAGCAAAAUUCGAAUUUCGGAACAAACCUUGUGAUUUUUAAAAACUUCCCCAACUUUAAAACAAACACUUAAGGUCGAAAUAAUCUAGGAUAUUGCCUAAAUCUCAUUAGACAUUACAAAGUGGAACUUAUUUGAAUAUGGAUGAACUGAAGCAGCAAACUAUACUUAAUUUUUUUUUUNNNNNNNNNNNNNNNNNNNNGGGGGGGGGGUAAUGUGAGAUGGAGAAAAUGAAAGAAAAGUGAUUGUCAUGUAUGGCAAGGAAAACUACAACCAGACUACAGGAUGAUGUUCUUUGGAAUAUGUUUUGUGUUAUAAGGAAG